AACGAACGCUGGCGGCAGGCUUAACACAUGCAAGUCGAGCGCCCAGCAAUGGGAGCGGCGCACGGGUGAGUAACACGUGGGAACGUGCCCUUUGGUUCGGAAUAACGUAGGGAAACUUGCGCUAAUACCGGAUAAGCCCUUACGGGGAAAGAUUUAUCGCCAUUGGAGCGGCCCGCGUUGGAUUAGCUAGUUGGUGGGUAAAAGCCUACCAAGGCAACGAUCCAUAGCUGGUCUGAGAGGACGACCAGCCACACUGGGACUGAGACACGGCCCAGACUCCUACGGGAGGCAGCAGUGGGGAAUCUUGGACAAUGGGGGAAACCCUGAUCCAGCCAUGCCGCGUGAGUGAUGAAGGCCUUAGGGUUGUAAAACUCUUUCGGCGGGACGAUAAUGACGGUACCCGCAGAAGAAGCUCCGGCUAACUUCGUGCCAGCA
rnacentral:rRNA from 1 species